CAUGCGGCUUAAUUUGACUCAACAUGGGGAAACUUACCAGGUCCAGACAUAGUAAGGAUUGAUAGACUGAGAGCUCAUUCUUGAUUCUAUGGGUGGUGGUGCAUGGCCGUUCUUAGUUGGUGGAGCGAUUUGUCUGGUUAAUUCCAUUAACGAACGAGACUUCAGCCUGCUAACUAGCUAUGCGGAGGCACCCUUCGCAGCCAGCUUCUUAGAGGGACUAUGGGGCCCAUCUUGGAAAAAUGUAUAUGGGGCCCAUCUUGAAAAAAUGUAUAUGGGCGCAUCUUGAAAAAAUGUAUGUGGGGCCCACCUUGAAAAAAUGUAUGUGGUGCCCACCUUGAAAAGAUGUAUGUGGG
rnacentral:ncRNA from 1 species